CAUUUGUGACGAUUAUCAUCACGGACACAUGCGCAGAGGCUGAGAACCCCUCAGCCUCCAGACCCCCACAAAGAAGAUAGGAGCUGCGGUCCAUGGUCACAGGCAUUUCUUGACUUGCUCUGUUUGGCUGACCAAGACUGCUUGAAGGUCCUGGAGUCCUUAGAGCUCAUCCACCUAAGAGCUCAUCUAGUGUCCAGGAGUGAGAUCUGAGUGGGCUGAUGGACUAGGAGGACAGCACCGGCGAGAGAAACAGAUAAGUCUUCACAACAGAAGACUCAACAGUCAUAAACAGGAAGCCGGAUGGUUCGCAGAUGGUUCCCGUCUGUCCUUCUGCCAAGGACGGACUGACUCCUCUGGACUUGGAGUAGCCCAGAGAAGACCCCAGUGGGAUGUUCUACAAGAGUGCAUAGCCUAAGACCACAGUCCUUAAAAUAAUCACUUCCAGAUAAUAGGAAAUUCCUUCAAAAGGUGAGAUUCUAAUCAUGGAAGGCCUGUAAACACAGGAAUUGGAAGUAUGUCUGGGCAGAAAUUGAAUUCAGUUUCUGAGAAGACUUUUCAUAUCCAAAUGUUUUUCAAACCAAUGGGCCAUGGUAUUGAUUUAAAGAAGCAGUGUUUGUAUUUUAAUAAUGAACUAGAACUCAC
rnacentral:lncRNA from 1 species